CCUCAUGGUGAAGCUGAGGGUUGACAGUUGCUCCUCGCCCCUGGUCCCAGGAGACAAGCUUUGUCGCAGUGUCAUCAGUGGAUCACCAGGCACAAGAUGACACCUGGAUGCUGCCCCUGGAUGGACCUGGACAGAGGCCUG
rnacentral:lncRNA from 1 species